AUUGAACGCUGGCGGCAUGCCUUACACACGCAAGUCGAACGGGGGUAGCAAUACCCUAGUGGCGGACGGGUGAGUAAUGUAUCGGAACGUGCCCUUGAGUGGGGGAUAACUACUCGAAAGAGUGGCUAAUACCGCAUGAGAUCUACGGAUGAAGGCAGGGGAUCGCAAGACCUUGUGCUACGAGAGCGGCCGAUGGCAGAUUAGGUAGUUGGUGGGAUAAAAGCUUACCAAGCCGACGAUCUGUAGCUGGUCUGAGAGGACGAUCAGCCACACUGGGACUGAGACACGGCCCAGACUCCUACGGGAGGAAGCAGUGGGGAAUUUUGGACAAUGGGCGCAAGCCUGAUCCAGCAAUGCCGCGUGCAGGAUGAAGGCCUUCGGGUUGUGAACUGCUUUUGUACGGAACGAAAAGCCCUGGGUUAAUACCCUGGGGUCAUGACGAUACCGUAAGAAUAAGCACCGGCUAACUACGUGCCAGCCGCCGCCGUAA
rnacentral:rRNA from 1 species